rnacentral:ncRNA from 1 species
GACGGAUGCAAAAUUUCCAGACUUUCAAGCAGGCUCAGAACGUGCCUUAACGCAUGUGGUGACUGCUAUAGCUGGUGCCAAUAUUAUUUAUGAAUCU